AGGUGCCUUGGGUUGGAGGGCAGCGGUUCGUACCCGCUGUGCUUCGGUUUUAAGCCCCCGGUUCGUACCCGGGGGCUUUGC
rnacentral:tRNA from 1 species